rnacentral:lncRNA from 1 species
ACAGGCAUUCAGGGAAGUUUGGUAGAAUUCGUUUCUCUAAGAGUCUUUUUGUUUUUCAUUUAUUUUUAGAGAAAACCUGGAGGAAAUUGAGAUGGAGUGUGGAAAACCCUUAUUUUAUAACAUGACUGCCAGAUUUAUAGUCAAUUUAGUGUAGUGACUAUUUCAUUCACUCAAUAUUAAUAUCUGAGUUGAAAUGGAAACACAUACAGUGUCUUAACUUUUUGGGAGGGGGGAUGUAAUAGGCCAGUUUGGGUAUCCGAAUAGACUAUGACUCUUCUCCCCAGAAAAUACACACACACACAAAAUAGCAUACACAUUUAGGGAACAGGUUUCCACAAGGCCCUAUGGGGCCACGCACUUCAGUAAAGAGCUCUUAAAUAGCGUCCCAGCUCCCUACAAUAUAUAACCUCUCUGUGUUCAUUUUCCUCACUUGUAAAAUGAAGGCAGUCCCCAGGACAAGGAAGAUUAAAAGAACCACCACAAAUAAAGUGCUUAGAAGAAAACAUGGCACAUGAUCUAGGGAAUCAAAGAAGACUAAAGCUGUAAUCCCUAUCAUCGAGAAACUCUCAUCUUCAUGAUACAUAAACAGAUGAUUACUUUCCCCCACAGCUUUCAAAGUUGAGUCUUCAAGUAAGACAAGUGCAAAGAAAGAAAUUUGGAACAGCAGACUGUUUCUGUUGGUACGAUUCUUAGGAGAAAAUAUGUGUCAUACAUUAUAUGCACUGAGAUCUUAUGUGUUUCGAAUCCACUAAUUUGGGGUUAAUGGGAGUGGGAUUUAAUUUUUGUUAAAUUGAAUAGCAGCAUCACUUUCAAUUGUUCUUAAAAAUAGGAUUUAUUAAACAAA